CCUACGGGUGGCAGCAGUGAGGAAUAUUGGUCAAUGGACGAGAGUCUGAACCAGCCAAGUAGCGUGAAGGAGGACUGCCCUAUGGGUUGUAAACUUCUUUUAUAGGGGAAUAAAAUGGUCCACGUGUGGGAUUUUGUAUGUACCAUAUGAAUAAGGAUCGGCUCACUCCGUGCCAGCAGCCGCGGUAAUACGGAGGAUCCGAGCGUUCUCCGGAGUUAGUGGGUUUAAAGGGAGCGUAGGUGGCUUGUUAAGGCCGUUGUGAAAGUUUGCGGCUCAACCGUAACAUUGCAGUUGACACUGGCAGUCUUGAGUACAGUAGUGGUGGGCGCAAUUCGUGUUGUAGCG
rnacentral:rRNA from 1 species